CGACGAGGGAGAACUCGCGGCGGAGCCCCCGGGAGGUGGAGCUCGGGACUUGUCGUGGAGCUGGGUGGCGUCGAAGAAGAUGAGGAGGGAGUAGGAGCGCGGGGUCUUGGUGGAGGUGAGGAAGCGGGAGACGGCGUGGUCGUCGAGGUGGAUGACGCCGGAUUUGGAUCGGGACUGGAGGGAGAGGAGCUCGGCCGCCCGAUCGGCGUCGGGAUCGGCGACAGCGACGGCGGCGGCGGCGGCCGAGAGGAGGAGGAGGAGGGCGGCGGCGGCGAGGCGGAGAGGGGUUUCGCCGGAGACGGCCGCCAUUGUCGCCGAUCUAGAGAGAGAGAGAGAGAGAGAGAGGAGAUUUUUGGGGGAAGAUGAACGGAGUGUUGCUAGGUCGUUUUGGAGACUGUUGAGUUGACUCGUUGCCGUGGAAUUUACGAGGCCGUUCACCUUACGACGCGUCGUCCCGGUCGUUUUGCCCCGUGGAUGGGA
rnacentral:lncRNA from 1 species